rnacentral:tRNA from 1 species
GGCUGGUUAGCUCAGUCGGUUGAACGUGGUGCUGGUAACACCAAGGUCGUGGGUUCGAUUCCUGUUCGGUCC